rnacentral:rRNA from 1 species
AGAGUUUGAUCAUGGCUCAGAUUGAACGCUGGCGGCAGGCCUAACACAUGCAAGUCGAACGGUAACAGGAAGCAGCUUGCUGCUUCGCUGACGAGUGGCGGACGGGUGAGUAAUGUCUGGGAAGCUGCCUGAUGGAGGGGGAUAACUACUGGAAACGGUAGCUAAUACCGCAUAAUGUCGCAAGACCAAAGAGGGGGACCUUCGGGCCUCUUGCCAUCGGAUGUGCCCAGAUGGGAUUAGCUUGUUGGUGGGGUAACGGCUCACCAAGGCGACGAUCCCUAGCUGGUCUGAGAGGAUGACCAGCCACACUGGAACUGAGACACGGUCCAGACUCCUACGGGAGGCAGCAGUGGGGAAUAUUGCACAAUGGGCGCAAGCCUGAUGCAGCCAUGCCGCGUGUAUGAAGAAGGCCUUCGGGUUGUAAAGUACUUUCAGCGGGGAGGAAGGGAGUAAAGUUAAUACCUUUGCUCAUUGACGUUACCCGCAGAAGAAGCACCGGCUAACUCCGUGCCAGCAGCCGCGGUAAUACGGAGGGUGCAGCGUUAAUCGGAAUUACUGGGCGUAAAGCGCACGCAGGCGGUUUGUUAAGUCAGAUGUGAAAUCCCCGGGCUCAACCUGGGAACUGCAUCUGAUACUGGCAAGCUUGAGUCUCGUAGAGGGGGGUAGAAUUCCAGGUGUAGCGGUGAAAUGCGUAGAGAUCUGGAGGAAUACCGGUGGCGAAGGCGGCCCCCUGGACGAAGACUGACGCUCAGGUGCGAAAGCGUGGGGAGCAAACAGGAUUAGAUACCCUUGUAGUCCACGCCGUAAACGAUGUCGACUUGGAGGUUGUGCCCUUGAGGCGUGGCUUCCGGAGCUAACGCGUUAAGUCGACCGCCUGGGGAGUACGGCCGCAAGGUUAAAACUCAAAUGAAUUGACGGGGGCCCGCACAAGCGGUGGAGCAUGUGGUUUAAUUCGAUGCAACGCGAAGAACCUUACCUGGUCUUGACAUCCACGGAAGUUUUCAGAGAUGAGAAUGUGCCUUCGGGAACCGUGAGACAGGUGCUGCAUGGCUGUCGUCAGCUCGUGUUGUGAAAUGUUGGGUUAAGUCCCGCAACGAGCGCAACCCUUAUCCUUUGUUGCCAGCGGUCCGGCCGGGAACUCAAAGGAGACUGCCAGUGAUAAACUGGAGGAAGGUGGGGAUGACGUCAAGUCAUCAUGGCCCUUACGACCAGGGCUACACACGUGCUACAAUGGCGCAUACAAAGAGAAGCGACCUCGCGAGAGCAAGCGGACCUCAUAAAGUGCGUCGUAGUCCGGAUUGGAGUCUGCAACUCGACUCCAUGAAGUCGGAAUCGCUAGUAAUCGUGGAUCAGAAUGCCACGGUGAAUACGUUCCCGGGCCUUGUACACACCGCCCGUCACACCAUGGGAGUGGGUUGCAAAAGAAGUAGGUAGCUUAACCUUCGGGAGGGCGCUUACCACUUUGUGAUUCAUGACUGGGGUGAAGUCC